rnacentral:misc_RNA from 1 species
CAUCAGGCCACCGACCUGCUGGAGCAC